rnacentral:rRNA from 1 species
AUGCAAGUCGAACGGCAGCAGCAAGAGCUUGCUCUUGGCUGGCGAGUGGCGGACGGGUGAGUAACGCGUAGGGAUCUGCCUUCUAGCGGGGGACAACUCGGGGAAACUCGAGCUAAUACCCCAUGUGGCCUACGGGCUAAAGGGUGCCUCUGAUUAAAGCAUUCGCUAGGAGAUGAACCUGCGUCCGAUUAGCUUGUUGGUGGGGUAAAAGCUUACCAAGGCGACGAUCGGUAGCUGGUCUGAGAGGACGAACAGCCACACUGGGACUGAGACACGGCCCAGACUCCUACGGGAGGCAGCAGUGGGGAAUAUUGGACAAUGGGCGCAAGCCUGAUCCAGCAAUGCCGCGUGUGUGAAGAAGGCCUGCGGGUUGUAAAGCACUUUCAGAGGGGAAGAGGGGUGUUGUUGUUAAUAGCAGCAAUACUUGACGUUACCUUCAGAAGAAGCACCGGCUAACUCUGUGCCAGCAGCCGCGGUAAUACAGAGGGUGCAAGCGUUAAUCGGAAUCACUGGGCGUAAAGGGUGCGUAGGCGGACUGAUAAGUUUUAUGUGAAAUUCCCGGGCUUAACCUGGGGUGGUCAUAGGAUACUGUUAGUCUAGAGUACAGUAGAGGUUAGUGGAAUUCCCAGUGUAGCGGUGAAAUGCGUAGAUAUUGGGAGGAACACCAGUGGCGAAGGCGGCUGACUGGACUGAUACUGACGCUGAGGCACGAAAGCGUGGGUAGCAAACAGGAUUAGAUACCCUGGUAGUCCACGCUGUAAACGCUGAAUA